UACGUAGGGGGCAAGCGUUGUCCGGAAUCAUUGGGCGUAAAGCGCGUGUAGGCGGCUCGGCAAGUCCGCUCUGAAAGUCCAGGGCUCAACCCUGGGAUGCGGGUGGAUACUGUCGGGCUCGAGUCCGGAAGAGGCGAGUGGAAUUCCUGGUGUAGCGGUGAAAUGCGCAGAUAUCAGGAGGAACACCAAUGGCGAAGGCAGCUCGCUGGGACGUGACUGACGCUGAGACGCGAAAGCGUGGGGAGCAAACAGG
rnacentral:rRNA from 1 species